AAAGAGAGAGAGAUAGUGAGGGCAAAACAAGACCCUAAAAGCUGAUGUGUGAAGGUUUUCACGUGUGUUCAUGUGUGACAGAGUACCAGAGAGAUACAAAGCAGGGGAAGGAAGAAGGGAGAAAUAAAAGAGAGUGCAGGGGAA